rnacentral:rRNA from 1 species
AAAGGAAUUGACGGGGGCCCGCACAAGCGGUGGAGCAUGUGGUUUAAUUCGACGAUACGCGAAGAACCUUACCGAGGCUUGACAUCCCUCGCUACUUUGGGAAACCAAAGGUUCCCUUCGGGGACGAGGAGACAGGUGGUGCAUGGCUGUCGUCAGCUCGUGUCGUGAGAUGUUGGGUUAAGUCCCGCAACGAGCGCAACCCUUAUCCUUAGUUGCCAGCAUUAAGUUGGGGACUCUAAGGAGACUGCCGGCAAAGAGUCGGAGGAAGGUGGGGAUGACGUCAAGUCAGCAUGCCCUUUAUGCUUCGGGCUACACACGUGCUACAAUGGUCGGUACAGAGGGUCGCGAAUCCGCGAGGAGGAGCCAAUCCCAAAAAGCCGAUCUCAGUUCGGAUUGUAGGCUGCAACUCGCCUACAUGAAGCCGGAAUCGCUAGUAAUCGCGAAUCAGCAUGUCGCGGUGAAUAUGUUCCCGGGCCUUGUACACACCGCCCGU